GUGAGGAAUAUUGCGCAAUGGAGGCAACUCUGACGCAGCCAUGCCGCGUGCAGGAAGAAGGCGCUACGCGUUGUAAACUGCUUUUAACCGGGAAGAAACCCCAGGACGUGUCCUGGGUUGACGGUACCGGAGGAAUAAGCACCGGCUAACUUCGUGCCAGCAGCCGCGGUAAUACGAAGGGUGCAAGCGUUAUCCGGCUUCAUUGGGUUUAAAGGGUGCGUAGGCGGAGCGUUAAGUCAGUGGUGAAAUCCUGCAGCUUAACUGUAGGCUUGCCAUUGAUACUGGCGCUCUUGAGUGCGCUUGAAGUGGGCGGAAUGUGCCGUGUAGCGGUGAAAUGCUUAGAUAUGGCACAGAACACCAAUUGCGAAGGCAGCUCACUAAGGCGAUACUGACGCUGAGGCACGAAAGCGUGGGGAUCGAACAGGAUUAGAAACCCUGGUAGUCC
rnacentral:rRNA from 1 species